GGCAGCGGCCAGGGCCGGGUUGUGUGGGCUGAGGAGGCCCACGAGGGUUGACACCAGCUGAUCCAGGAAGGGCAAAGAUAUGACCUCGCUCUCCUCGUAACGGUGCACGCGCCGCCUGCGCCGCAGGUAGAAGUGCUCCUGCAGCAGGCAGUCGCAGGCGACCGCACGCAGCGCCGCGAGGUCCAGCGCAGGUUCAGGUUCGGGUUCGGGCUCGGGCUCGGGCUCCGCUGGGGGCGGCGGCAGACCCGACAGGAACACGGUCUUGGUGAAGUACUGGUACCAGCGGUCGGCAUUCAGCGCGAAGGUCUGCGGGUAAACCAUGUACUUCAUAAACUGCAUCUUGGUGAGGAUUCGCAGCUUCUCGUCUACCGACUCCGCAGCGUGCACCGUCGCCUGCCAGCGCUCGAUCCGCCGCAGCCGUGCAGCCUUGCUGUCGGCUGUCAUGGAGGCCACAAUCGGCGGGUACCGCGCGACGGGGGUCGCCGCGACGUCUUGGCAGGUCGUUUCUGUAGCCGUGGCGGCGGCAUUAGCCGCGAUGUGCAAUGAAAGCCUCGGACCGCGUAGCAAAGGCCUCCAACACCUGGCCGCCGCCAUCUUUGCCCGCGAUUCCGGACCCAGAGGUCAACUUAAGCAAUUGUCCUUGCCCUCUUGCUGUAGGGACCAAUCGGAAAGCGGAAUCUGAGCCAGUCUGGGAAAGGACGAUUCUCAGUGGGCGUGGGUUAUGUUGCGUCAUUCAUGGUUUAGCCAAUCAUAUAACUUCUCCAGUCGUGGUUUCCUGCGUUUGUAGAUGGAAGGAAGAACUUGUGUGCUUAGACCUGACGCUGGGAGGAGAUGCUGCCACCUAGGUUACUUGUAGGACCCUAUACGGCAACCUCCUUUGCCAGGAACUAUUUAGAAACAUCCUGCAGGAAAAUGCAAGACCAGACUUUGCCCUUCCUCCUCUCAGCCUACUCAAUGUGAAUAUAAUGAGGAUGAAGACCUUUGUAAU
rnacentral:lncRNA from 1 species